rnacentral:rRNA from 1 species
CCUACGGGAGGCAGCAGUGGGGAAUAUUGGGCAAUGGAGGAAACUCUGACCCAGCGACGCCGCGUGCGGGAUGAAGGCCUUCGGGUUGUAAACCGCUUUCAGUAGGGAAGAAGCGAAAGUGACGGUACCUACGGAAGAAGCACCGGCUAACUAUGUGCCAGCAGCCGCGGUAAUACAUAGGGUGCAAGCGUUGUCCGGAAUUAUUGGGCGUAAAGAGCUCGUAGGUGGUUCGUCACGUCGGAUGUGAAAAUCUGGGGCUCAACCCCAGACCUGCAUUCGAUACGGGCGAUCUAGAGUGUGGUAGGGGAGACUGGAAUUCCUGGUGUAGCGGUGGAAUGCGCAGAUAUCAGGAGGAACACCAAUGGCGAAGGCAGGUCUCUGGGCCAUUACUGACACUGAGGAGCGAAAGCGUGGGGAGCGAACAGGAUUAGAUACCCUGGUAGUCCACGCCGUAAACGGUGGGCACUAGUUGUGGGAACCUUCCACGGUUUCUGCGACGCAGCUACGCAUAGUCGCCCGCCGUCGGGUAGGUACGAGUCGCGAAGAAGUUAAACGUACGAAAGGUAAGUUAGUACGGCGUUGAGACGUUGCCGACGGCGACGACGAGGGAGGAGG